rnacentral:lncRNA from 1 species
UUUUUUUUUUUACCCCUCCCAAAUUAGGAGGAUCUAUAGUGUUUCCACACUUCCCCUCCAGCAUGACUCGAACCCAGGACCUAACGAUCGUAGGUGGAGGUGCUUUUACCAACUGAGCAAGCCUGGUCGUAGGUGGAGGUGCUUUUACCAACUGAGCAAGCCUCACUUGUCGGAUGAAUAUGUUCAAUUCAAUAAAGAGAAUUGGAAUGGUAAGAACUGAGUCAUUAUUUCAAUGUCAGGCAGGUCACUAAGGAUAAUUGAUAUCCUAUCACUACAAAUACAAGAAUAUAAUCUUGCUGACGGGAGGAAGAGUGAGGACUCGAUUAUGGUAUCCAUUGAGUGUAACCCCAGUGCAUCUAAACAGACUGCAGGCAUUUUUAUCCCUAAAAAAAGAUAAUAAAGGAAUCACAUGGGAAACAUAAUCGAGCCCCAAUUUGUUGUUAAUUCAUAUGACAAAGCAGAUUUCCCAAAG